rnacentral:misc_RNA from 1 species
AACAUCGCGCACCUGCGGGAACCUGCGGAGGGAUCAUUACAGGGUUGCAAAACUCCCUAAACCAUUGUGAACGUUACCUAAACCGUUGCUUCGGCGGGCGGCCCGGGUCCUUCCCGGCGCCCCUCGGCCCUCGCGGGCGCCCGCCGGAGGUAAACCAAACUAUUGCAUUGUAUGGCCUCUCUGAGUCUUCUGUACUGAAUAAGUCAAAACUUUCAACAACGGAUCUCAGAUCGGAAGAGC